rnacentral:rRNA from 1 species
GAUGAACGCUAGCUACAGGCUUAACACAUGCAAGUCGAGGGGUAACGAGAGGGAAGCUUGCUUUCCUUGUCGACGACCGGCGCACGGGUGAGUAACGCGUAUCCAACCUGCCCCCAACUAGGGAAUAACCUUGCGAAAGUAAGACUAAUACCCUAUAAUUUCCUCAGAUGUCAUCUGACGAGGAAUAAAGAUUUAUCGGUUGUGGAUGGGGAUGCGUCAGAUUAGCUUGUUGGCGGGGUAACGGCCCACCAAGGCAACGAUCAGUAGGGGUUCUGAGAGGAAGGUACCCCACAUUGGGACUGAGACACGGUCCAAACUCCUACGGGAGGCAGCAGUGAGGAAUAUUGGUCAAUGGGCGGAAGCCUGAACCAGCCAAGUAGCGUGCAGGAUGACGGCCCUAUGGGUUGUAAACUGCUUUUAUACAGGAAUAAAGUUAGCCACGUGUGGUUAUUUGUAGGUACUGUAUGAAUAAGGACCGGCUAAUUCCGUGCCAGCAGCCGCAGUAA